UACGUAGGGGGCAAGCGUUGUCCGGAAUUAUUGGGCGUAAAGCGCGCGCAGGCGGUUAUGUAAAUCUGAUGUUAAAGCCCGGGGCUCAAACUCGGUUCGCAUUGGAAACUGUGUAACUUGAGUGCAGAAGAGGAAAGUGGUAUUCCACGUGUAGCGGUGAAAUGCGUAGAUAUGUGGAGGAACACCAGUGGAGAAGGCGACUUUCUGGUCUGUCACUGACACUGAGGUGCGAAAGCGUGGGGAGCAAACAGG
rnacentral:rRNA from 1 species